AGAACGAACGCUGGCGGCAGGCUUAACACAUGCAAGUCGAACGCCCCGCAAGGGGAGUGGCAGACGGGUGAGUAACGCGUGGGAAUCUACCCAAUUCUUCGGAACAACUGAGGGAAACUUCAGCUAAUACCGGAUACGCCCUACGGGGGAAAGAUUUAUCGGAAUUGGAUGAGCCCGCGUAAGAUUAGCUAGUUGGUGGGGUAAUGGCCUACCAAGGCGACGAUCAGUAUCC
rnacentral:rRNA from 1 species